UGGGGAAUAUUGGACAAUGGAGGGAACUCUGAUCCAGCAAUUCUGUGUGUGUGAAGAAGGUUUUAGGACUGUAAAACACUUUUAGUAGGGAAGAAAAAAAUGACGGUACCUACAGAAGAAGCAACGGCUAAAUACGUGCCAGCAGCCGCGGUAAUACGUAUGUUGCGAGCGUUAUCCGGAAUUAUUGGGCUUAAAGGGCAUCUAGGCGGUAAGACAAGUUGAAGGUGAAAACCUGUGGCUCAACCAUAGGCUUGCCUACAAAACUGUUGAACUAGAGUACUGGAAAGGUGGGUGGAACUACACGAGUAGAGGUGAAAUUCGUAGAUAUGCGUAGGAAUGCCGAUGAUGAAGAUAACUCACUGGACAGAAACUGACGCUGAAGUGCGAAAGCUAGGGGAGCAAACAGG
rnacentral:rRNA from 1 species